UUGCUCUGGCAGCACAGCUACUGAAAUUAGAGCCACACAGAGAAGAUUAGCGCGGCCCCUGAACAAGGGUGACACACAAAUUCGAGAAGCAUUCCAUAACAGA